rnacentral:rRNA from 1 species
AUUGAACGCUGGCGGCAUGCCUUACACAUGCAAGUCGAACGGCAGCGGGGGAGAAGCUUGCUUUUCCUGCCGGCGAGUGGCGAACGGGUGAGUAAUACAUCGGAACGUGCCCUGUAGUGGGGGAUAACUAGUCGAAAGAUUAGCUUAUACCGCAUACGACCUGAGGGUGAAAGUGGGGGGCCGCAAGGCCUCAUGCUAUAGGAGCGGCCGAUGUCUGAUUAGCUAGUUGGUGGGGUAAAGGCCUACCAAGGCGACGAUCAGUAGCUGGUCUGGGAGGACGAUCAGCCACACUGGGACUGAGACACGGCCCAGACUCCUACGGGAGGCAGCAGUGGGGAAUUUUGGACAAUGGGCGAAAGCCUGAUCCAGCAAUGCCGCGUGUGUGAAGAAGGCCUUCGGGUUGUAAAGCACUUUUGUCCGGAAAGAAAUGGCUCUGGUUAAUACCUGGGGUCGAUGACGGUACCGGAAGAAUAAGGACCGGCUAACUACGUGCCAGCCGCCGCGGUAA